GUGCUUGCUUCAGCAGCACAUAUACCAAAUUGGAAUGAUACAGAGAUUAGCAUGGCCCCGGCGUAAGGAUGACAUGCAAAUUACUGAAGCAUUCCAUAUUUUU
ensembl:snRNA U6 U6 spliceosomal RNA